CGUGCUGUGAGCUCGAUGAGUAGGGCGGGACACGUGGUAUCCUGUCUGAAUAUGGGGGGACCAUCCUCCAAGGCUAAAUACUCCUGACUGACCGAUAGUGAACCAGUACCGUGAGGGAAAGGCGAAAAGAACCCCGGCGAGGGGAGUGAAACAGAACCUGAAACCGUGUACGUACAAGCAGUGGGAGCCCCACCACUAAGCCAGUGGUGAACUCCACAUACGCAUCCUUUGCUGAGGAUGCGGUUAACGGAGCGAAAGCGACGUUCAACCGCAAAAGAAGCAGAGGGGGCUUAGUGGUGGGGUGACUGCGUACCUUUUGUAUAAUGGGUCAGCGACUUAUAUUCUGUAGCAAGGUUAACCGCAUAGGGGAGCCGGAGGGAAACCGAGUCUUAACCGGGCGUUAAGUUGCAGGGUAUAGACCCGAAACCCGGUGAUCUAGCCAUGGGCAGGUUGAAGGUUGGGUAACACUAACUGGAGGACCGAACCGACUAAUGUUGAAAAAUUAGCGGAUGACCUGUGGCUGGGGGUGAAAGGCCAAUCAAACCGGGAGAUAGCUGGUUCUCCCCGAAAGCUAUUUAGGUAGCGCCUCGUGAAUUCAUCUCCGGGGGUAGAGCACUGUUUCGGCCAGGGGGCCAUCCCGGCUUACCAAUCCGAUGCAAACUGCGAAUACCGGAGAAUGUUAUCACGGGAGACACACGGCGGGUGCUAACGUCCGUCGUGAAGAGGGAAACAACCCAGACCGCCAGCUAAGGUCCCAAAGUCAUGGUUAAGUGGGAAACGAUGUGGGAAGGCCCAGACAGCCAGGAUGUUGGCUUAGAAGCAGCCAUCAUUUAAAGAAAGCGUAAUAGCUCACUGGUCGAGUCGGCCUGCGCGGAAGAUGUAACGGGGCUAAACCAU
rnacentral:rRNA from 1 species